rnacentral:rRNA from 1 species
GAUGAACGCUGGCGGCGUGCCUAAUACAUGCAAGUCGAACGCACAGCGAAAGGUGCUUGCACCUUUCAAGUGAGUGGCGAACGGGUGAGUAACACGUGGACAACCUGCCUCAAGGCUGGGGAUAACAUUUGGAAACAGAUGCUAAUACCGAAUAAAACUCAGUGUCGCAUGACACAAAGUUAAAAGGCGCUUUGGCGUCACCUAGAGAUGGAUCCGCGGUGCAUUAGUUAGUUGGUGGGGUAAAGGCCUACCAAGACGAUGAUGCAUAGCCGAGUUGAGAGACUGAUCGGCCACAUUGGGACUGAGACACGGCCCAAACUCCUACGGGAGGCUGCAGUAGGGAAUCUUCCACAAUGGGCGAAAGCCUGAUGGAGCAACGCCGCGUGUGUGAUGAAGGCUUUCGGGUCGUAAAGCACUGUUGUAUGGGAAGAACAGCUAGAAUAGGGAAUGAUUUUAGUUUGACGGUACCAUACCAGAAAGGGACGGCUAAAUACGUGCCAGCAGCCGCGGUAAUACGUAUGUCCCGAGCGUUAUCCGGAUUUAUUGGGCGUAAAGCGAGCGCAGACGGUUGAUUAAGUCUGAUGUGAAAGCCCGGAGCUCAACUCCGGAAUGGCAUUGGAAACUGGUUAACUUGAGUGCAGUAGAGGUAAGUGGAACUCCAUGUGUAGCGGUGGAAUGCGUAGAUAUAUGGAAGAACACCAGUGGCGAAGGCGGCUUACUAGACUGUAACUGACGUUGAGGCUCGAAAGUGUGGGUAGCAAACAGGAUUAGAUACCCUGGUAGUCCACACCGUAAACGAUGAACACUAGGUGUUAGGAGGUUUCCGCCUCUUAGUGCCGAAGCUAACGCAUUAAGUG